UACGUGGGGUGCAAGCGUUGUCCGGAAUUAUUGGGCGUAAAGAGCUUGUAGGCGGUUUGUCGCGUCUGCUGUGAAAUUUCGGGGCUCAACCCCGAACUUGCAGUGGGUACGGGCAGACUAGAGUGUGGUAGGGAGACUGGAAUUCCUGGUGUAGCGGUGAAAUGCGCAGAUAUCAGGAGGAACACCAUAGUCGGAAGGCAGGCUCGCUGGGCGACUGACUCUGAGAACGAGAACUGGGGAGCAACAGG
rnacentral:rRNA from 1 species